AUGGCGUCCUCGGGCCAGACCAAGUACUCGGCCCACAGGACUGUGUCCAGCGAGGCCUCCCGUGGCGUCAGCGUGUUCGUGUGGAGGAAUGUGGAACCUCACUCUGUGGCCGUGUUCCCCUGGUACUCCGUCCCCUUCCUGACCCCUCCCUGGAGCCACACGAGGCCCAGCAACCUGCCAGUCACUCAGUGGCCUCCAACCAGAGCAAACAACCUGCCAAGUUGGCAGCUGUUGCUCAUGAGCAUCCACCAGGUGGGACAGGGAGUGUUGACCCUGGGUGGCCCCCUGGAGCCACCUGCCCUGAAAGCCCAGGGCCCAGAACCCCACACACUUUGGGGGUGGUGGAACCUGGUAAGGGCCCACCUCCCACCAUGGAGGAGGAGCCCUGGGCCCCUCAGAGGAGUCCCUGCUGGACAAUGAGACAGAGAAUGACCACGAUGAUGCUUUCCUCUCCGUCAUGUCUCCUGACACCCAGUUGCCUCUACCACUCAGAUGAUGUCAGGCCCAGUCCCUCAGUGCCCUGCGCAAGGAACAGGACUCAUCUUCUGAGAAGGAUGGAUGCAGCCCCAACAAAUGGGACAAGGACCACAUCCCGUGGCCCAUAAGUGGUGGUCAUGAGCUUCAGCAAGCGGCACCAGGCCCUGGCAGGGCGCACCAGGGUCACCCCAACCAGGACAACCGGACCGUCUGCCAGAUCCUGAGCGAGCGGUGGUACACCCUGGGGCCCAAUGAGAUGCAGAAGUACCACGACCUGGCCUUCCAGGUGAAGGUGGCCCACUUGCAACAGGGACCGAAAGAAGUACAGCUCAGAGGCCAAGCCCACAAGCCAGGGGCUAGCAGGAGUAUACAAGGGCUCCUGGGAGCAGAGUAUAUCAGAGACGAGCACUGCCACUGCCCCUGGGGUGUCCUCUGAACUCCUGUCAGUUGCAGCCCAGACACUCCAGAGCUCGGAUACCAAGGAGCAGCUUCUGUGGGGCAGAACGGCUGCAUACAGGGAACCUGGCUCAGCCUGGCCCAAGCCUUCUCCCACAGGGGUGUACACAGCCUGGACGGCAGGGAAAUAGACCGUCAGGCACUACAGGAACUGACAGAAGUGGUGUCUGGCACUGCAUCAUACUCUGGCCCAAAGCCUUCUACUCAGUAUGGAGCUCCAGGCCACUUUGCAGCCCCUGGUGAGGGAGGUGACCAGUAGGCAGCCCUGCUGCUGCCCACCUGAGCUGCUCAUUCCCAGCACAUGGCCAGUGACGACAUAGUGAGUGAUGAGGAGCACAUGGUCAUCCAUGAGGAGGAGGGGGUGACAAUGUCAUUGCUGAUGACGGCUUUAGCACCACUGACACUGAUCUCAAGUUCAAGGAGUGGGUGACCGACUGAGAGUGGUGACAGCUCUGGGGAGGAGCCAGAGGGCAACAAGGGCUUUGGUGGGAAGGUAUUUGCACCUGUCAUUCCUUCCUCCUUUACUCCUGCCGCCCCUUGCUGGAUCCUGAGCCCCCAGGGUCCCCCGAUCCAUCUGCAGUUUUUGGCAAAGUCCAUGGUCCCACCCCCUCCUCCUCCUACACAUACUCGGAUGCUUCCUCCUCAACCUUGGCACCCACCUCCUUCUUACUGGGCCCAGGAGCCUUCAAAGCCUAGGAGUCUGGUCAGGGCAGCAGAGUGGGCCCCCUACGGCCCCAACCCCUGGGGAUGGGGGCCCAGGGAUGCCUUCCAAGGUGACCUGUUUCCUCCCAAUGGAUCCUUCCACCUUCUGGUGCAAGAGACCUGAAAGUGUGGGCGACCUGGAGCUACCAGGCCCCUCAGUCAUCGCAGUCCCUCCCAACACUAAGGCUUUCCUAGGCAGGAGCUGGGCUGAGCCACCCAGGGGGCAGAGCCUGAAGAGGAGAAACUGGGCUUUGGGGGUUGGGGCAGAGGGAACCCCACGGACAUGGAUCCCGCACUGGACGACCCCACCACACCCAAAUGCAAGAUGAGAAGAUGCUCCAUCUGCAGCC